UUGUAAUUUGCAGAGGAUGCUUUGGGUGCGGCCCCCGUCUAAGUGCCCUGGAACGGGCCGUCACAGAGGGUGAGAAUCCCGUCUUGGGCGGGGUGUCCGUGCCCGGGUAAAGCUCCUUCAACAAGUCAAGUGUUUGGGAGGAAAUCUCUAAAUGGGAGGUACAUUUCUUCUAAAGCUAAAUAUUGGCCAGAGACCGAUAGCGCACAAAUAGAGUGAUCGAAAGAUGAAAAGCACUUUGGAAAGAGAGUCAAACAGCACGUGAAAUUGUUGAAAGGGAAGCGCUUGCAGCCAGACUUGCUUACAGUUGCUCAUCCGGGUUUCUACCCGGUGCACUCUUCUGUAGGCAGGCCAGCAUCAGUUUGGGCGGUAGGAUAAAGGUCUCUGUCACGUACCUCCUUUCGGGGAGGCCUUAUAGGGGAGACGACAUACUACCAGCCUGGACUGAGGUCCGCGCAUCUGCUAGGAUGCUGGCGUAAUGGCUGUAAGCGGCCCGUCUUGAAACACGGACCAAGGAGUCUAACAUCUAUGCGAGUGUUUGGGUGGAAA
rnacentral:rRNA from 1 species